rnacentral:rRNA from 1 species
GAAGCAUUCUUCGGAAUGUGGAAGAGUGGCGAACGGGUGAGGAACACGUAAGAAUCUGCCCCUCGGUCGGGGACAACUCUUGGAAACGAGAGCUAAUACCCGAUACGCUGUGGAGUGAAAGAAUUUCGCCGAGGGAUGAUCUUGCGUCUGAUUAGCUAGUUGGUGUGGUAAUGGCAUACCAAGGCGACGAUCAGUAGCUGGUCUGAGAGGAUGGACAGCCACAUUGGAACUGAGACACGGUCCAGACUCC